GGAAUCUUCCACAAUGGACGCAAGUCUGAUGGAGCAACGCCGCGUGAGUGAAGAAGGUUUUCGGAUCGUAAAGCUCUGUUGUUGGUGAAGAAGGAUAGAGGCAGUAACUGGUCUUUAUUUGACGGUAAUCAACCAGAAAGUCACGGCUAACUACGUGCCAC
rnacentral:rRNA from 1 species